UUUGUUGUGUAUUUUUGCUCUAAAGUAUUUCCAUUAAACCUGGUGAUGAUAAUGCUUCAUGGCCUACAUCAGAUGAUGACUUAAGUUUGAAUACGAAGAAUACCUCAAAACCAAACUUGAGAAAACUAAUGAAUGUUUCUCAGCAUUUCAAGAACUUGGAAGCAAAACUUGGCCUUGUAUCACCGGGAGAUAAAACUUUAUUUGAGGAUGAUAAUUCUGAUAACAAGUGUGAACAUACGGUUGGCGUUCCUUCCAAACCAUCCGUCGACGUCUGUGACUCUUCUCCUGCUUUGCCAUCACCUGAUUCUAUUCUAAAACCUCCUUUCACAUUGUUAGGCCUUGGUCUUACAAAGGUAAGUUGUUUC